rnacentral:lncRNA from 1 species
AGUGGAUAACUCUAGUUUUAUUCAUUUUAAAUGCACAUAAAUACAAAAAACUUAACACUGGCUGUAACAUAAAUGCAUAUUUUUCUUUGAAACAUCAGUCCUAAAACGAGCAUACUCAGUGCUUUCAGUUUUGCAUGACUGUAAAACAUUACAAUUGAAGCGUUUACAUUUCCGAUAUGAUUUGGCGUAUAAUUACACCGCAAUCACACUCUCUGUGCUGCAUUCUCCAUUGUUCGCCUGGAUCUGUGCGGGAAAGCCCAGCGCUGGUUGAGGGGCACAACGUGACCUAACAAACAAGGAACCUCCGGGAACACCGUCAGUCCUGAACUAUGCGCACAUGGGGCCUAUCUGAGGGGUCCCGCGAGAAGCGACGCUUUACAAAUGACUCUUAAAAUGCGCUUUUGCAAAUGCCGCUCGGUAAAGCGCAUUAAUUUCGCAUUCGUGCUAUGUUUAUGAUGAAAGUUUACAAUAUUAAUCACUCAGAUGGUGCUUAACGCGUUUUAUUCAUGUGCUCCAUCGGCCGUCAGGACACUCCCUGAGCGCGUUUGCUUCGCUUGGGAGGCGGAGACGGGACCCCCGUUGACGUCAGUGGGCCUGUCGGUUUCCUGCAAUAGAAAGUGAGGGAAGAUAGAGCGAGAGAGGGGGAAAACAGACCUCUGACCGUUGAAAUCUUUGACAACAGUUCAGACUGCACCUCCCGCAACGCUGCUGGAGAGAGUCUCCGAAGCACCGACCGCGACGGCAGAUGUGCAGAGGGUGUCUAUCCUGUGCGGAAUAGGAGAUCGUCUUUCCUCCCUGUGACCGGUCUGCAUUCCAUCCAGCAUCUUUCCGUACGAUGUGUCACUGAGCCAGUGGAAAAACCCUGAAAAUGCCACGUACAAAGCAAAACAACCCUAAAAACCUGAAAGAAUUCCAUGUUGGAACUUACGGAAUCUUCCAUGUGUCGCAUAAGAAGAACAAAAUCAAAAUUGCUGCAUACAAGGAUACAGAUCCCAGGCCAGGUAUGAAGGUAUCGAAGGCUUGGGAUUUUCUGGCGUGUGCCGUUCUCGGUCAGUCUGUAUGAAGACAGGAAGUGUAAACUUCAGAUGAACCAGCCAGAGGGAAUCUCAGUUAUUCCCAAACAGACAGAAAGAGCCCAGAGGGGCAGAGAAACACCUGUCACCUGUCUCCUGAGACUGACUCUCUCGCACACACACACACACACAUAUAUGCAGGAAGUCAGAUGAUUAGUGUGCUGUACUAUUGAC